GAUGAACGCUGGCGGCGUGCCUAAUACAUGCAAGUCGAGCGAACGGACGAGAAGCUUGCUUCUCUGAUGUUAGCGGCGGACGGGUGAGUAACACGUGGAUAACCUACCUAUAAGACUGGGAUAACUUCGGGAGACCGGAGCUAAUACCGGAUGAUAUUUUGAACCGCAUGGUUCAAAAGUGAAAGACGGUCUUGCUGUCACUUAUAGAUGGAUCCGCGCUGCAUUAGCUAGUUGGUAAGGUAACGGCUUACCAAGGCAACGAUGCAUAGCCGACCUGAGAGGGUGAUCGGCCACACUGGAACUGAGACACGGUCCAGACUCCUACGGGAGGCAGCAGUAGGGAAUCUUCCGCAAAGGGCGAAAGCCUGACGGAGCAACGCCGCGUGAGUGAUGAAGGUCUUCGGAUCGUAAAACUCUGUUAUUAGGGAAGAACAUAUGUGUAAGUAACUGUGCACAUCUUGACGGUACCUAAUCAGAAAGCCACGGCUAACUACGUG
rnacentral:rRNA from 1 species